GAUGAAGAACGUAGCGAAAUGCGAUACGUAAUGUGAAUUGCAGAAUUCAGUGAAUCAUCGAAUCUUUGAACGCAUAUUGCGCUCUCUGGUAUUCCGGAGAGCAUGCUUGUUUGAGUAUCAGUAAACACCUCAACUUCCAUAUCUUUUUUGAAAUGGGAGUUGGACUUGAGUGAUCCCAACGCUUUUCCUCACCGAAAAGUGGCGGGUUGCUUGAAAUGCAGGUGCAGCUGAACUUUUCUCUGAGCUAUAAGCAUAUCUAUUUAGUCUGCCUAAAAAACAGAUUAUUACCUUUGCUGCAGCUAACAUAAAGGAGACUAGUUCUUGUGCUGACUGAUGCAGGAUUCACAGAGACAGCUUCGGCUGACUUUGUAAACUCGAUCUCAAAUCAAGUAAGACUACCCGCUGAACUUAAGCAUAUCAAUAAGCGGAGGA
rnacentral:misc_RNA from 1 species